GUUAGCCAGGCUGGUCUCAAACUCCUGACCUCAAGUGAUCCAUCAGCCUCGGCCUCCCAAAGUGCUGGCAUUACAAGCAUGAGCCACUGCACCUGGUCCACUGACCUUAUCUUGAUACUGCCUAUCUCCAAAGUACUUAAUUUUUUAAAAAUCCAAAAUAUAUAUAUUUAUGGUUUACAUCACUAUUAGUCAAAUUGUUUUGUGACUAGCAACUGAAAGCCUUAAUGAUACAUUGAACUUGAUGGAGCACAGCAGGCUCUGCCUAAGUUAAUGCAAAUACUGGAAAGGUACUAUCAAAUACAAAUACUGGAAAAUCACAUUCGUGAUGGUUUUGGAUUAUUUAUCCCUUACCUGUAAAAUCAAGUUUCAGGCUAAAGGAGAAAAAUCUCAGUAUUUUUUCCAGUAUCUAAAAAUGCUCCUAAUGGAGUAUCUUUACCCUUGAAGACUAUGCCAUUUCAUGAAGAGGUGAUCUUCCCGUGUCUGAGUUACCCAAGAGGAGGCUGAAUGUCAUGGAUGCUGCGAAAGGAUGGCUGUGCUGGCUGGGACGUUGGAUAAGAUUGAGCACAGAGUCAUAACAAGAAGAUCACAACAUUUAUAUCCGCCAUGAGGAGGCAAACUGACCUGUUGCUUUUUCUCUCUAUGGUUGAGUGAAUAUUGACUGAAGCCCUUGUACCCAUUGGCCCAUGAACACAAAGAAGUUUUAUCUAAGAGCCAUGCUUCACAGCAGGAACUGUUUCUCGCAGCUUUUGUGAACCAAGAAAGGCAAUAUUCUUCUGCGACUGUCUUGCUAACCUUCCUUGCACACUCUGUUCUGGAGAACCUUGGCUGUUGAACGUAUAAAGGAAGAAGAAUGCAGUUCUUGCCUUGGGGAGCUUACAUCUUACCUAGCAUACCAGAUAAACACAAUGAAGGACCACACAAUGGUAAACAAGAUGUUUCAUGUCAUGGUGGACUAGAAGAGAGGCCCUAUACAGAAUUUUGCUAAAAACGUAAAAUUUAAAACAUAUAUCAGUCUGCUACCUUUGAUUUGUAGUAAGAUACUUCUUAUGUUGAAUUGAGUUUAAGCACACUCCAAACUUUUCAGUAGAUAUGUUCUCUUCUCUUGGAAUCAUACAGAUUUAAUAUUAAGAACAAUUUUUGUUUACUUCAAUGUUUCUCUUUUUCUUCUAUCCUGAAAAACCUGACCACUUAAAACUGUCCUUCUAAUCACUGGCAGAGGAAAUUUUACUUUUUGAUGGGACACUUUUGACUUAAGUCUUGACUCUGAGGGAAGGAUGGCCUAAGAGGCAGGUGUUUCAUAAGUACAUUCUAGAAGUUCAUUUACUUCUGGCAUGCAGGAUGACAUAGCAAAAUGUUUAUGGAUCACAAACAUAAGCACAGUGAUUCUGUAAAUAAUCCAACAACCUAACUUGUCUUGGCCAGAAAUCUAGAUACUGACAUCAGGGAAAAUAUCCUUUUAGUUUGAUGUAUGCAUCUUUCUUCAGGG